AAUCAACGCUGGCGGCGUGCCUAACACAUGCAAGUCGCACGAGAAAGGGACUUCGGUCCUGAGUAAAGUGGCGCACGGGUGAGUAACACGUGACUAAUCUACCCUCGAGUGGGGAAUAACCUAGGGAAACCUGGGCUAAUACCGCAUAACACUUACGAGUCAAAGCAGCAAUGCGCUUGGGGAGGAGGUCGCGGCAGAUUAGUUAGUUGGCGGGGUAAUGGCCCACCAAGACGAUGAUCUGUAUCCGGCCUGAGAGGGCGCACGGACACACUGGAACUGAAACACGGUCCAGACUCCUACGGGAGGCAGCAGUGGGGAAUUUUGCGCAAUGGGGGAAACCCUGACGCAGCAACGCCGCGUGGAGGAUGAAGUCUCUUGGGACGUAAACUCCUUUCGACAGGGACGAUAAUGACGGUACCUGUAGAAGAAGCCCCGGCUAACUUCGUGCCAGCAGCCGCCGUAAC
rnacentral:rRNA from 1 species